rnacentral:rRNA from 1 species
GAUGUGAGUGUGCCCGAAAGGGAACCUAGACACACGUGCUGCAUGGCUGUCGUCAGCUCGUGUCGUGAGAUGUUGGGUUAAGCCCCGCAACGAGCGCAACCCUUGCCAUUAGUUGCUACAUUUAGUUGGGCACUCUAAUGGGACCGCCGGUGACAAACCGGAGGAAGGUGGGGAUGACGUCAAGUCCUCAUGGCCCUUAUGGGUAGG